GAUGAACGCUGGCGGCGUGCUUAACACAUGCAAGUCGAACGGAAAGGCCCAAGCUUGCUUGGGUACUCGAGUGGCGAACGGGUGAGUAACACGUGGGUGAUCUGCCCUGCACUUCGGGAUAAGCCUGGGAAACUGGGUCUAAUACUGGAUAGGACCACUUCUUGGAUGGUGUGGUGGAAAGUUUUUUCGGUGUGGGAUGAGCUCGCGGCCUAUCAGCUUGUUGGUGGGGUAAUGGCCUACCAAGGCGUCGACGGGUAGCCGGCCUGAGAGGGUGUACGGCCACAUUGGGACUGAGAUACGGCCCAGACUCCUACGGGAGGCAGCAAUGGGGAAUAUUGCACAAUGGGCGCAAGCCUGAUGCAGCGACGCCGCGUGGGGGAUGACGGCCUUCGGGUUGUAAACUCCUUUCGCUAGGGACGAAGCGUUUUUGUGACGGUACCUGGAGAAGAAGCACCGGCUAACUACGUG
rnacentral:rRNA from 1 species